rnacentral:rRNA from 1 species
UACGUAGGGUGCGAGCGUUAAUCGGAAUUACUGGGCGUAAAGCGUGCGCAGGCGGUUCGUUGUGUCGGCGGUGAAAGCCCCGGGCUCAACCUGGGAAUGGCCGUUGAAACUGGCGAACUGGAGUGUGGCAGAGGGGGGUGGAAUUCCGCGCGUAGCAGUGAAAUGCGUAGAUAUCUGGAGGAACACCGGUGGCGAAGGCGGCAUCCUGGACCAACACUGACGCUGAUGAGCGAAAGCCAGGGGAGCAAACGGG